rnacentral:tRNA from 1 species
ACCUGACUGGCUCAGUUGGUAGAGCAUAUGACUCUUCAUCUCAGGAUAGUGAGUUCAAGCCCCACGUUGGGUG